rnacentral:misc_RNA from 1 species
CUUCGUUUGGCUAAGCAGCGGAGAAAAAUAAAAGUAUGUAGCAGGGCUCUAUCUCGUCAUUCCUCCCUCAAUUGCAGGAGCCAUUGCAGCCGCUCGUUUUUGCCUUUCCACGUUCCCAUGCCACCCUAUGGACAUGUCAAAGCCACGGUUCUUGAGCUCUCUAUACUCUUGACACAAGGCACAUUCCUCGCAGCAAAAAUGGAUACAACAAUCGGAACAAGGACUUUCCUCCAAGAAAUAUUGGCCCCUCAACUUUGAUCGGUAGAAGCAUGAGUACAAACACGAGCAACCCGUCAAACACAGUAUCAACGUGUAUAGUGCUCCACUCACUCCACAGG